rnacentral:tRNA from 1 species
GGUUAUAUAAUUUAAAAAAAAAUAUUAAUUUUGUAAAUUAAAUUUAAAUUUUAAAAAAUUUUAUGACUU